GCUUACGGUCACACUACCUUGAGAACGCCAGAUCUCGUCUGAUCUCGGAAGCUAAGCAGGGUCGGGCCUGGUUAGUACUUGGAUGGGAG
rnacentral:rRNA from 1 species